GACGAACGCUUGCGUCGUGCCUAACACAAGCAAGUCGGGCGAGAGACUUCGGUCUCAAGCGGCGGACGGGUGAGUAACACGUGGGUAACCUGCCUCAAACAGGGGGAUAGCCUACCGAAAGGGAGAUUCAUACCGCAUAACAGCGCGCUAUCGCAAGAUAGUGUGCUCAACGGAGUAAUCCGGUUUGAGAUGGGCCCGCGGCGCAUUAGCUAGUUGGUUGGGUAAAGGCCUACCAAGGCGACGAUGCGGCGCCGACCUGAGAGGGUGAGCGGCCACAUUGGAACUGAGACACGGUCCAGACUCCUACGGGAGGCAGCAGUGGGGAAUAUUGCACAAUGGGGGAAACCCUGAUGCAGCAACGCCGCGUGAGUGAUGAAGGCCUUCGGGUUGUAAAGCUCUGUCUUUGGGGACGAUUAUGACGGUACCCAAGGAGGAAGCCACGGCUAACUACGUGCCAGCCGCCGCGGUAA
rnacentral:rRNA from 1 species